rnacentral:rRNA from 1 species
ACGGAAGGCAGCAGUGGGGAAUAUUGCACAAUGGGCGAAAGCCUGAUGCAGCGACGCCGCGUGAGUGAUGAAGUAUUUCGGUAUGUAAAGCUCUAUCAGCAGGGAAGAUAAUGACGGUACCUGACUAAGAAGCACCGGCUAAAUACGUGCCAGCAGCCGCGGUAAUACGUAUGGUGCAAGCGUUAUCCGGAUUUACUGGGUGUAAAGGGAGCGCAGGCGGUACGGCAAGUCUGAUGUGAAAGCCCGGGGCUCAACCCCGGUACUGCAUUGGAAACUGUCGAACUAGAGUGUCGGAGGGGUAAGUGGAAUUCCUAGUGUAGCGGUGAAAUGCGUAGAUAUUAGGAAGAACACCAGUGGCGAAGGCGGCUUUCUGGACUGUAACUGACACUGAGGCUCGAAAGCGUGGGGAGCAAACAGGAUUAGAUACCCUGGUA